rnacentral:rRNA from 1 species
GACGAACGCUGGCGGCGUGCUUAACACAUGCAGGUCGAACGGAAAGGCCUUUUCGGAGGUACUCGAGUGGCGAACGGGUGAGUAACACGUGGGUGAUCUGCCCUGCACUCUGGGAUAAGCCUGGGAAACUGGGUCUAAUACCGGAUAGGGCCGCACUUUAGUGUGUGUGGUGGAAAGUUUUUUCGGUGUAGGAUGAGCCCGCGGCCUAUCAGCUUGUUGGUGGGGUAAUGGCCUACCAAGGCGGCGACGGGUAGCCGGACUGAGAGGUUGGUCGGCCACAUUGGGACUGAGAUACGGCCCAGACUCCUACGGGAGGCAGCAGUGGGGAAUAUUGCACAAUGGGCGCAAGCCUGAUGCAGCGACGCCGCGUGGGGGAUGACGGCCUUCGGGUUGUAAACUCCUUUCGCCAGGGACGAAGCGUUUUGUGACGGUACCUGGAGAAGAAGCACCGGCUAACUACGUG